UAAGACGAAGGGGGCUAGCGUUGUUCGGAAUUACUGGGCGUAAAGAGCGCGUAGGCGGUCUGGUAAGUUGGGAGUGAAAGCCCGGGGCUUAACCUCGGAAUUGCUUUCAAAACUGCCUGACUAGAGUGUAGUAGGGGAUGAUGGAAUUCCUAGUGUAGAGGUGAAAUUCUUAGAUAUUAGGAGGAACACCGGUGGCGAAGGCGGUCAUCUGGGCUACAACUGACGCUGAGGCGCGAAAGCGUGGGGAGCAAACAGGAUUAGAUACCCUGGUAGUCCACGCUGUAAACGAUGAGUGCUAGGUAUCGGGAGAAUUUCUUUCGGUUCCGUAGUUAACACGUUAAGCACUCCGCCUGGGGAGUACGAUCGCAAGAUUA
rnacentral:rRNA from 1 species